rnacentral:lncRNA from 1 species
CCAUUUCAGUACUUAAUGGCCGCCUGAGUUGAGCAGGUAUAGAUGAUUCAUGAUUGUAUCUCAUCUAUUUAUAUUUACCUAGGGGUUAUUUUCUUUUCUCCAUGAAUACCUAGACAAAACCAAAAUAAAAAAAAGAAGAAGAAGAAGAAGAAGAAGAAGAAGAAGAAGAAGAUGAUAACAGCGUGGUGUAGAGAUGGCAUCUUCUGUUGAAUGUUUUCAAAUUGUUGAUUUAAACAUUACAAUGACAUCGAGAUGACUCAAGAAUGAAGCUGGAUUCUACUGUGAUUAGUACAAACCAACCACCUAGAAGAGCAUUCAUCUGUUCUAACUGUGUUCCUCACAAGGGCAGGGUCUUGACUGACGGUUUUGGUUUUGGGGGUUUGGAGACCCUUAACGUCUUCGUAGAGAACAAACACCCACAUCCCCAGGCUUUGGUACUGCCAUCCCCUUCCAGUUCACACCACCCCACAAAAGACCUGCUCUUCCAUGAACAAGGUGAAAUACUGACAGGUCUAGCCUAUCAAAAAUGUGAAUGUGCUUACCAGCGCACAACGGGACGUGGUGUGUCCCCAAAAGCUCAGGUGAGACAAUGCAAGAAGGUUCAGAGGAGAAAUGAUGGGUCAUGAGUCUUAAUGCAAUCAGUGAGUUGAUCCCCUGAUGUGAUUAACUGGGUGGUGACUGGAGGCAGGUGGGGUGUGGCUGGAGGAGGUGGGUCCUUGGGGUCCUGCCUUUGGGGUAUAUAUUUGUAUCUGGAGAGUGGAGUCCCUCUCUGCUUCCUGAUCACCAUGUGAGCUGCUUCCCUCUGCCACACUCUUCUGCCAUGAUGCUCUGCCUCAACUGGAGCCCCCAGGAAUAGAGCCGGCUGUUUAUGGACUGAGACCUCUGAAAACGUGAGCCCCUAAAUAAACUUCCUUCUGUAAAAUUGUUCUUGUCAGGUCUUUUAGUCACAGCAGCAGAAAAGCUAAAAAAAAAAAAAAAAAAAAACCACUGUCACUGAGGUAUUUGGUCACAUGAGACCCCCUGCUCUUCCUUUCGAAUCACCUUGGUGACGUUUUAUUUAUAAGCUGGUUGCAGUAUACCCCGCAAUAGGCCAGGUGUCACUGAUGAAGGAAAAAACAGCAUUUAGCAAGCCUCAGUAUCUCUCCACAGCCAAGCACACCAUAUCUGUACCUAGGUUGCUAUGGAUUCCAUCUGGUUGGAGAGUGUCCCCCAUGGGUUCACAUGUUGAGACACUAAGAGGGGAGAAUAUUAGCCCAACUAUUGUGCAUAGGGUGGAGUCUACAGGAGGUGAUGAGGGUUAGGUAAGCCCAAGUGAUUGAAUACCGGUUGCUCUGGAAGAGAGACAGAACUGAGACACACACACAUACAUACAUGCACACUCCCUGUUUCUAGCCAUGUGAUGUCCCAAGCCACCUCAGAACUCAGCCAGCAGGAAGGUCAUCACCCAAUAUGUCUUCUUGAACCUCCAGAACUGUGAGCUAAGAAACUUCUUUUCUUUACCAAGUUAUUCAGCUUCAGGUGAUUCAUUACAGUAACAAAAAAU